rnacentral:rRNA from 1 species
GUGGGGAAUAUUGCACAAUGGGCGCAAGCCUGAUGCAGCAACGCCGCGUGAGGGACGACGGCCUUCGGGUUGUAAACCUCUUUUAGCAGGGAAGAAGCGAAAGUGACGGUACCUGCAGAAAAAGCACCGGCUAACUACGUGCCAGCAGCCGCGGUAAUACGUAGGGUGCAAGCGUUGUCCGGAAUUAUUGGGCGUAAAGAGCUCGUAGGCGGUUUGUCGCGUCUGCUGUGAAAACCCGAGGCUCAACCUCGGGCCUGCAGUGGGUACGGGCAGACUAGAGUGCGGUAGGGGAGGUUGGAAUUCCUGGUGUAGCGGUGGAAUGCGCAGAUAUCAGGAGGAACACCGAUGGCGAAGGCAGAUCUCUGGGCCGUAACUGACGCUGAGGAGCGAAAGCGUGGGGAGCGAACAGGAUUAGAUACCCCAGUAGUCC